AACGAACGCUGGCAGCAGGCUUAACACAUGCAAGUCGAACGCAUCCUUCGGGGUGAGUGGCAGACGGGUGAGUAACGCGGGGGAACGUGCCCUUCAGUUCGUGAUAACCCAGGGAAACUUGGGCUAAUACCGGAUACGUGCGUGAGCAGAAAGAUUAAUCGCUGAAGGAUCGGCCCGCGUCUGAUUAGCUAGUUGGUGGGGUAAGGGCCCACCAAGGCGACGAUCAGUAGCUGGUCUGAGAGGAUGAUCAGCCACAUUGGGACUGAGACACGGCCCAAACUCCUACGGGAGGCAGCAGUGGGGAAUAUUGGACAAUGGGCGCAAGCCUGAUCCAGCCAUGCCGCGUGAGUGAUGAAGGCCUUAGGGUUGUAAAGCUCUUUCGUCCGGGACGAUAAUGACGGUACCGGAAGAAGAAGCCCCGGCUAACUUCGUGCCAGCCGCCGCAGUAA
rnacentral:rRNA from 1 species